rnacentral:rRNA from 1 species
UACAGAGGGGGCAAGCGUUGUUCGGAAUUACUGGGCGUAAAGGGCUCGUAGGCGGCCAACUAAGUCAGACGUGAAAUCCCUCGGCUUAACCGGGGAACUGCGUCUGAUACUGGAUGGCUAGAGGUUGGGAGAGGGAUGCGGAAUUCCAGGUGUAGCGGUGAAAUGCGUAGAUAUCUGGAGGAACACCGGUGGCGAAGGCGAGUCUCUGGACAUUUCCUGACGCUGAGGCACGAAAGCUAGGGGAGCAAACAGG